rnacentral:lncRNA from 1 species
GGAGGAACUGAGGAAGCAGGAGAGAGUUAGGUCCUUUGGGGCAGGAUUAGCAUGAGGACAAGAUGUAGCUAAGAGUUUCUCCUGAUUUCAAAGCCAGAACCUUCAGGAUUCGCCAUCUGAGCAUUUAGAGUUAAUAAGGCUUACAAGAUUAGGAUUUUAGUUGCUGUGCCCAGCAAUUGAGUUACCAUCAUUUCUGAACUAAGUUUGGAUUGUGUUUUCCUUCACACAGCAGCUGGUGCGGGUUCAAGAGAGAAAGAUUUGUUGGGCACACAAGGAGGUAGCAAACUCAAUAGUGUGGAUGCUUUUCAAGUUGCCAUUCUCUGCAUAGCAGGAAGCCAUCAUGGAGGGGUAGUCUAAAGUUUUCUCCAUCGCGGACUCAGUCACUUCAGCCCGAUUUCCCACAGCCAAGCGAGAUGAGAAAGAUCUCCGAGGACGGGCAUCCACAGGACUCGUCCUGAUGCUGUGGGGAGAGCAGGUGAUGGCCAAGACAAUGGGCUACAAGGAGCUCCCCUGUACAGGGGACCGGCGCUGCUGCUACUCGGCAUACAUAUUUCUAUAUACACUUUCAAUUAAACAUAGGCAUCCAUUUCCAGAGCUAAGUAUUCAACAUCCUGGGCCAUCCUUAGAGAAACAAGAACAUUCAAUACACCAAAUGUCCAAAGCUUUCAUGAAGAGAC